rnacentral:rRNA from 1 species
GACAGAGGUGCCGAGCGUUAGGCGGAAUCACUGGGCUUAAAGCGUGUGUAGGCGGAUUCCUAAGUACCUUGUGAAAUCCCACGGCUUAACCGUGGAACUGCUUGGUAUACUGGGUGUCUUGAGCCAACUAGAGGCAGUCGGAACAAACGGUGGAGCGGUGAAAUGCGUAGAUAUCGUUUGGAACGCCAAUGGUGAAAACAGACUGCUGGGGUUGUGCUGACGCUGAGACACGAAAGCCAGGGGAGCGAACGGG